CCUACGGGAGGCAGCAGUGGGGAAUUUUCCGCAAUGGGCGAAAGCCUGACGGAGCAACGCCGCGUGAGGGAUGAAGGCCUCUGGGCUGUAAACCUCUUUUAUCAAGGAAGAAGAUCUGACGGUACUUGAUGAAUAAGCCACGGCUAAUUCCGUGCCAGCAGCCGCGGUAAUACGGGAGUGGCAAGCGUUAUCCGGAAUUAUUGGGCGUAAAGCGUCCGCAGGCGGUCUUGUAAGUCUGUCGUUAAAGCGUGGAGCUUAACCCCAUUUCGGCGGUGGAAACUACAAGACUAGAGUGUGGUAGGGGCAGAGGGAAUUCCCGGUGUAGCGGUGAAAUGCGUAGAUAUCGGGAAGAACACCAGUGGCGAAGGCGCUCUGCUGGGCCAUAACUGACGCUCAUGGACGAAAGCUAGGGGAGCGAAAGGGAUUAGAUACCCCCUGUAGUCCUAGCCGUAAACGAUGAACACUAGGUNUCGGGGGAAUCGACCCCCUCGGUGUCGUAGCUAACGCGUUAAGUGUUCCGCCUGGGGUGGUACGCGACGCAGUAGUGAACGUACAAUAGAAUUAGUACGGCGUGAGACGUGCCGACGGACGACGACCGAGGGAGGUAGG
rnacentral:rRNA from 1 species